GCAUGGAAUCAGACUCUACAACUCAGAGAGAGUUGUAAAGCAGGGGUCUUCAAGAUAAAGUAAGCAGUCUUCCUCAUGUGGGCAGGGGUCUUCAAAAUGAAGUAAGCAGUCUUUCUCAUGGUGUACUUUUCACCUUUGGCACAGUUGGAUGCCCCAGUGAUCACAAAACUAGCUGAAACCAGCCAUAUCUGUAAGUUUCUGAUAGCUGGCAAAGAUUUAGAACAGUGUGACCUUUGUACAAAAUUUAUUGCAAGCAAAAUAGGAUGGGCAGACAAGGAGUAUCCCAAGUUAGCAGAUGUUUGGGAGUCACUGUCUCCAAACAAACUGAUAAUUAGAAGGAAGGUAAGAAAUAAUUCACUCAUUAGAAGGAU